rnacentral:lncRNA from 1 species
GUUAAUACUUCAGUUUUGGUGGCAAGCAAGACUGAGUUACCUAGUCCACUAUCGCUUCUUUUAUUGUGUGGAUUAUGAUAUCUGUACUAAUCGCGGCUAACUGAGCAAUGCCACUAAACAACUGCGGUCGGAACUUUUUUAUCUCAAAAUGGUUAUCUGUAACUGCUUCAAGCAUGGUACCAUUUGUUUUUCCCUACACAAUACAAUUUUCUAUUGGCUUGUAUGAUUUACCUAAAUUGUUGAUUUUUUUUUGCUGAUAUUGUCACAUUAUUUAUUCUUUGGUUGUCUGAGGAUUUGAAUGUUUCUAGCUUGUAUUGCCAAAUCAUUUAUUAUGUCCAUCAAAACAUCAAUGAAGUCUUUUUUUUUUUUUUUUUUAAUUUUGUAUUACAUCUUUUUUGCCUUUUCCAUUUUUGAGAGUUUUUGACCCAUGUGAUGGUGAUGGGAGAUAUUUUUUUUCUCUGUGAAAAUCUCCUUAAAUUGUUGGAGCAAACCCAUCAUGUUUUGUAUAUUUGUAAGUGAAUGUUCUUUGGAUGUUUGAUGUUUCUUUUGAAAGUGCAAUACUUAAGAGGAAGUAUUUCCACCCAGAAAUAGUCUCAUAUUCCAUUGCCUGGGGAAGCAAUGUUGUUGCUGUUACCUUUUGGGACUGGACAUUUGACAUACAUAUACCUUUAUUCUUUUGUUUUCUACAUUUAAACUAAGAAUCGGAGUAGACAUGUUGUUUUCUACCUAACAACCUCUUGCUACAAGGAGUGGGUGGUGUCAGGUGUGAUGAAGGAGAUUUUUCUGGGUGAAAAUAUCCUUAACCUGUUGGAGCAAACCAAUCAUGUUUGUAAUUCCUAAGUAGACAUCACAUAGAAAGUCCUUUGGUGUUGAUGAUUCUUCUUGAAAGUUCAAUCCUUCCAUGAAAUUCCUCCACUUGAUGGCGGUCUCAUAUACCAUUGCCUGGAGUUGCAGCAUCACUGCCAUUGCCUGUUGGGACUGGCCAUGCGGCAUACAUAUACCUCUAUUAUUUUGGUUUUUGGUUUAAACUAAGCAUAGUGUAGACAUGUUGUUUUGUUGUCUACACAACUGCCUCUUGCUACAAGGAGUGGCUAGUGUUAAGUGUGACGAAGGAGAUUUUUCUGGGUGAAAAUUUUUUUAACCUGUUGGAGCAAACCAAUCAUGUUUGUAAAUUCCUAAGUAAACGUCAUAUAGAAAGUCCUUGGGCGUUGAUGGUUCUUCUUGAAAGUUCAAUCCUUCCAGGAAGUUCCUCCACCUGAUGACGGUCUCAUAUUCCAUCGUCUGAAGCAGCAGCACCGCUGCCGUUACCUUUCAGGACUGGCCAUGGGGCACACAUACACUGCUGUUCUUUUGUUUUUUUAUUUUAAAAAACUAAACUAAGCAUAGAGUAGAGAAUUGUUUCAUUUCUACUCAACUGGUUCUUGCCAAAAGGAGUGGCCAGUGUCAAGUGUGACGAAGGAGAAAAUCUCCUUAACUUGUUGGAGCAAACCAAUCAUGUUUGUAAAUUCCUAAGUAAACGUCACAUAGAAAGUCCUUGGGUGUUGAUGGUUCUUCUAGAAAGUUUAAUCCUUUCAGGAAGUUCCUCCACCUGAUGGCAGUCUCAUAUUCCAUCGCCUGGAGCAGCAGCAUCGCUGCUGUUACCUUUCAGGACUGGCCAUGACACAUACAUAUGCUGCUAAUUUUUUUUUUAAAAAAUAAACUAACAUAGAGUAGGCAUAUUGUUUUGUUUUCUACCCAACCGCUUCUUGCUACAAGGAGUGGGUAGUGUCAAGUGUGACAAAGGAGAUUUUUCUGGGUGAAAUCUCUUUUAACUUGUUGGAGCAAACCAAUCAUGUUUGUAAAUUCCUAAGUAAAUGUCAUAUAGAAAGUCCUUGGGUGUUGAUGGUUCUUCUUGAAAGUUCAAUCCUUCCAGGAAGUUCCUCCACCUGAUGGCGGUCUCAUAUUCCAUCGCCUGGAGCAGCAGCAUUGCUGCCGUUACCUUUCAGGACUGGCCAUGAGACACACAUACACUGCUAUUAUAUUAUUAUUAUUAUUUUUAAAAGGAUUAAACUAAGCAUAGAGGAGACAAUGGUUUCGUUUCUACCCAACUGCUUGCUACAAGGAGUGGCUGGUGUCAAGUGCGACGGAGGAGAUUUUUCUGGGUGAAAAUCUCCUUAACUUGUUGGAGCAAACCAAUCAUGUUUGUAAAUUCCUAAGACAACGUCACAUAGAAAGUCCUUGGGUGUUGAUGGUUCUUCUAGAAAGUUCAAUCCUUUCAGAAAGUUCCUCCACCUGAUGGCGGUCUCAUAUUCCAUCGCCUGGAGCAGCAGCAUCGCUGCCUUUACCUUUCAGGACUGGCCAUGAGACAUACAUACACUGCUAUUCUUUUACUUUAAAAAAAAAAACUAACAUAGAUUCGGCAUAUUGUUUUGUUUUCUACCCAACUGCUUCUUGCUACAAGGAGUGGGUAGUGUCAAGUGUGACGAAGGAGAUUUUUCUGGGUGAAAAUCUCUUUAACUUGUUGGAGCAAACCAAUCAUGUUUGUAAAUUCCUAAGUAAACGUCAUAUAGAAAGUCCUUGGGUGUUGAUGGCUUUUCUUGAAAGUUCAAUCCUUCCAGGAAGUUCCUCCACCUGAUGACGGUCUCAUAUUCCAUCGCCUGGAGCAGCAGCAUCGCUGCCAUUACCUUUCGGGACUGGCCAUGAGACAGACAUGCACUUUUGCUCUUUUGUUUAUUAUUUAAACUUAUCAUCACUAGAUGCAUGUUGUUUCCCACCCAGCUUGUAUAUACAUGUGGGUUUUAUGGGAACUUGAAAAGCAAUUUAAGUGGGAUCAUGUGGUGUUUUCAAGUUUUCACCAUGGUAUCUUUGACUUCUAAAAUCUUGCUUAUAGCCUGCAGUAAAAGCAUGUCUUGUAAUUCAUUACAUUCUGCAAUUGUCCCCUU